rnacentral:rRNA from 1 species
CCUGCCCAAGAGAUCGGGAUAACACCUGGAAACAGAUGCUAAUACCGGAUAACAACAGAUGAUGCCUAUCAACUGUUUAAAAGAUGGUUCUGCUAUCACUCUUGGAUGGACCUGCGGUGCAUUAGCUAGUUGGUAGGGUAACGGCCUACCAAGGCGAUGAUGCAUAGCCGAGUUGAGAGACUGAUCGGCCACAUUGGGACUGAGACACGGCCCAUACUCCUACGGGAGGCAGCAGAU